UAUAAACUCUUCAAGUUCUAGCUUGGUAAUGAAUUUUUGUCCCUUGACAAAUUCUAAAAUAUUUUUGUCUGUUGUAAAAAGCCUUUUGCUUUGACGUAACCAAUGACUUUGCGCUCGGCAAAUCUUUUACAACAAGUUUUUAUCUUCUUCCACAGUUUAACCUC
rnacentral:misc_RNA from 1 species